GAUUAAUUUGAAUAGAAUUGUAUUUUUCUUGGCACAUAAUUUGUCGAAAUACACCCCUUCAAUUUCUUGAAUCUUGGCUUGAGAAUUAUUUUCCAAGUCUUCUAAAGUUGCUUGCUUAAAUUGUUUAACUUCUGAUAUACAUUUUAAAAUAAAGUAAUCUACUCUUGAAUUGUCCGUAAAAACGGCUAAUAUAAUCCCGGGUUUUAUUAAUUCAAUGAAACGGUUUUCGUCGCUGUUUUGGAUUUGUCUUUCAAUUACCUCAAUUUCAUGCACAAGUUAAUAUUGACGAAAAUUCCGGCUUCGCUAGUACAUGUAGUACAGGAAUAACUUUCAGUUAUAACAUGAAUAGCAGGACAAAUUGCAAGGUAAAACAUUCCGUGGACUUGUAUUAAGUCUUUUAAUAUAAUUGGUGAAUGCACCUUACUGAAGAGACUACUUUAAAAGAUCUAUUUCGAAGUCCUUCCGCAACAUAAAUUAAAAUUCGCAUUUUACAUUUAG
rnacentral:lncRNA from 1 species